CGGCUGCACUAUGCAGGCUUCUUUUCAAUGCCGUACGAUUAUGAAACGUGUCGUAGGCUUUACUGCUUUUUCUCCGACUGUUUGUUGAACAAGUGUUCGCCCACAAGCCCCAACAUAGAACCGGCACGGCUCCAACCCUAUGCUACCUGUCACCGUAUUUGGGCAACGGCUGUGUACUGUCAGGCGAGCAAUGGUACUACAACCCUAACUCCAGCUCCUGCAGAAUGCUCAGCCAUCGUUCCUGUGCCCAUAAAACCCACCUCUUCAGGUCACUUAGAUCGUGCCAGGAAACAUGUCAGACUACCAGCGCACGACGCACAUAUCUAUGCCUUCAAAGACCCAUCGGUGGAAUGUGCUCGACAGUACGUCAUGCCUGGUAUUUUGACGCACGCAGCCACGUGUGCAAAAUGUUCGACUACACCUACUGCAAGAAGGAACUAAACCUUUUCUUAUCAGAGAUGAAGUGUCAGCAGAUAUGCUUACCCCACAAAACGCCAAAAGCGUUUUGUAGCCUGGCACCGGUUUCCAAGAUCUGUCCAGUCCAGAUAUACCACUGGUACUUUGAUGAAUAAAAAGACGUCUGCCUAGCUUAUCCGAAACACCGCUGUGGAACGAACAGCAAUCGUUUUCGAACAAACGGAGAUUGUAUGAACAGGUGCAGCUAUUCCAAGGAAAAGGCAGGUUCUUUAUGACUUUAAUACACUGAUUACCUGGCAACAACGCCCGUCUAAUAAUCACAAGUACCGACUUCCUAUGACUUGCAACUGUUUAAGGAAGAUAACUAGAAGCAGUGAUGGGCUAUAUUACGAGAGCCGGGAAAGUUAACUUCGGCACAAAAGUGUAGUUUUUGACAAUGCUUUCCGGUGCCCGUGUUUAUUUACUACUGA
rnacentral:lncRNA from 1 species